CUCCUUCGGUUACUUCCGCGUUCAUCGCGGAGGUUCCGUUUGGAUACACGAUCUGUAUUGUACCUGUGCCUCUGAGGACGAUGCCGUACUCCGCUGCCGUUGGAUUUACGUGCGGUGCCAUCAUUGAUCCCUGUAUUUGAGAAACUUGCUCCAAACCCUAGGCGAUUCAGUGUCUGAGAUGUAAACGAUUGGACCCUGUCGUUGUCUUGAUAAAAUCCUUCUCAAUUCUGUAUAAGAAACCUGUGGAGUACACUGAAUUGUGAGAAAUCUAGUUGAUGUUUGGAAAUUAGAGAGGCAGAUUAGGGAUUUUAGUCGAAUUUCUCA